rnacentral:rRNA from 1 species
AUUGAACGCUGGCGGAAUGCUUUACACAUGCAAGUCGAACGGCAGCACGGGAGCUUGCUCCUGGUGGCGAGUGGCGAACGGGUGAGUAAUACAUCAGAACGUACCCAGUUAUGGGGGAUAACUAACCGAAAGGUUAGCUAAUACCGCAUACGCCCUGAGGGGGAAAGCGGGGGACCGUAAGGCCUCGCGUAAUUGGAGCG